rnacentral:rRNA from 1 species
GCAGUGGGGAAUAUUGCACAAUGGGCGCAAGCCUGAUGCAACCGACGCCGCGUGAGGGAUGACGGCCUUCGGGUUGUAAACCUCUUUCGCCAGGGACGAAGCGCAAGUGACGGUACCUGGAGAAGAAGCACCGGCCAACUACGUGCCAGCAGCCGCGGUAAUACGCAGGGUGCGAGCGUUGUCCGGAAUUACUGGGCGUAAAGAGCUCGUAGGUGGUUUGUCGCGUUGUUCGUGAAAACUCACAGCUUAACUGUGGGCGUGCGGGCGAUACGGGCAGACUGGAGUACUGCAGGGGAGACUGGAAUUCCUGGUGUAGCGGUGGAAUGCGCAGAUAUCAGGAGGAACACCUGUGGCGAAGGCGGGUCUCUGGGCAGUAACUGACGCUGAGGAGCGAAAGCGUGGGGAGCGAACAGGAUUAGAUACCCUGGUAGUCCACGCCGUAAACGGUGGGUACUAGGUGUGGGUUUCCUUCCUUGGGAUCCGUGCCGUAGCUAACGCAUUAAGUACCCC